AUUGAACGCUGGCGGCAUGCCUUACACAUGCAAGUCGAACGGUAACAGGUCUUCGGAUGCUGACGAGUGGCGAACGGGUGAGUAAUACAUCGGAACGUGCCCGAUCGUGGGGGAUAACGAAGCGAAAGCUUUGCUAAUACCGCAUAAGAUCUACGGAUGAAAGCAGGGGACCGCAAGGCCUUGCGCGAACGGAGCGGCCGAUGGCAGAUUAGGUAGUUGGUGGGAUAAAAGCUGACCAAGCCGACGAUCUGUAGCUGGUCUGAGAGGACGACCAGCCACACGUGGACUGAGACACGGCCCAGACACCUACGGGAGGCGGCAAUGGGGAAUUUUGGACAAUGGGCGCAAGCCUGAUCCAGCCAUGCCUCGUGCAGUAUAAAGGCCUUCGGGUUGUAAACUGCUUUUGUACGGAACGAAAAGACUCUGGUUAAUACCUGGGGUCCAUGACGGUACCGUAAGAAUAAGCACCGGCUAACUACGUGCCAGCAGCCGCCGUAACAC
rnacentral:rRNA from 1 species